GGGGCUAUGAUGACAAACUGAAGUCAUGAAAUAAGAUGGUGACAUAAAAAUCAUGUUCCAAAGAAUGAUACUGAGGCCU